UGGGGAAUUUUGGACAAUGGGGGAAACCCUGAUCCAGCCAUCCCGCGUGUGCGAUGAAGGCCUUCGGGUUGUAAAGCACUUUUGGCAGGAAAGAAACGUCGCGGGUUAAUACCCCGCGAAACUGACGGUACCUGCAGAAUAAGCACCGGCUAACUACGUGCCAGCAGCCGCGGUAAUACGUAGGGUGCAAGCGUUAAUCGGAAUUACUGGGCGUAAAGCGUGCGCAGGCGGUUCGGAAAGAAAGAUGUGAAAUCCCAGAGCUUAACUUUGGAACUGCAUUUUUAACUACCGGGCUAGAGUGUGUCAGAGGGAGGUGGAAUUCCGCGUGUAGCAGUGAAAUGCGUAGAUAUGCGGAGGAACACCGAUGGCGAAGGCAGCCUCCUGGGAUAACACUGACGCUCAUGCACGAAAGCGUGGGAAGCAAACAGGAUUAGAUACCCUGGUAGUCCACGCCCUAAACGAUGUCAACUAGCUGUUGGGGCCUUCGGGCCUUGGUAGCGCAGCUAACGCGUGAAGUUGACCGCCUGGGGAGUACGGUCGCAAGAUU
rnacentral:rRNA from 1 species